CGGGUGAGUAACGCGUGGGAACGUACCUUUUGGUUCGGAACAACACAGGGAAACUUGUGCUAAUACCGGAUAAGCCCUUACGGGGAAAGAUUUAUCGCCGAAAGAUCGGCCCGCGUCUGAUUAGCUAGUUGGUGAGGUAAUGGCUCACCAAGGCGACGAUCAGUAGCUGGUCUGAGAGGAUGAUCAGCCACAUUGGGACUGAGACACGGCCCAAACUCCUACGGGAGGCAGCAGUGGGGAAUAUUGGACAAUGGGGGCAACCCUGAUCCAGCCAUGCCGCGUGAGUGAUGAAGGCCCUAGGGUUGUAAAGCUCUUUUGUGCGGGAAGAUAAUGACGGUACCGCAAGAAUAAGCCCCGGCUAACUUCGUGCCAGCAGCCGCGGUAAUACGAAGGGGGCUAGCGUUGCUCGGAAUCACUGGGCGUAAAGGGUGCGUAGGCGGGUCUUUAAGUCAGGGGUGAAAUCCUGGAGCUCAACUCCAGAACUGCCUUUGAUACUGAGGAUCUUGAGUUCGGGAGAGGUGAGUGGAACUGCGAGUGUAGAGGUGAAAUUCGUAGAUAUUCGCAAGAACACCAGUGGCGAAGGCGGCUCACUGGCCCGAUACUGACGCUGAGGCACGAAAGCGUGGGGAGCAAACAGGAUUAGAUACCCUGGUAGUCCACGCCGUAAACGAUGAAUGCCAGCCGUUAGUGGGUUUACUCACUAGUGGCGCAGCUAACGCUUUAAGCAUUCCGCCUGGGGAGUACGGUCGCAAGAUUAAAACUCAAAGGAUUUGACGGGGGCCCGCACAAGCGGUGGAGCAUGUGGUUUAAUUCGACGCAACGCGCAGAACCUUACCAGCCCUUGACAUGUCCAGGACCGGUCGCAGAGAUGUGACCCUCUCUUC
rnacentral:rRNA from 1 species